GACAAACGCAGACGGCGUGCCUAAUACAUGCAAGUCGAGCGAAGUUUUUCUGGUGCUUGCACUAGAAAAACUUAGCGGCGAACGGGUGAGUAACACGUAAAGAACCUGCCUCAUAGACUGGGGACAACUAUUGGAAACGAUAGCUAAUACCGGAUAACAGCAUUAACUGCAUGGUUGAUGUUUAAAAGUUGGUUUUGCUAACACUAUGAGAUGGCUUUGCGGUGCAUUAGCUAGUUGGUGGGGUAAAGGCCUACCAAGGCGACGAUGCAUAGCCGACCUGAGAGGGUGAUCGGCCACACUGGGACUGAGACACGGCCCAGACUCCUACGGGAGGUAGCAGUAGGGAAUCUUCCGCAAUGGGCGAAAGCCUGACGGAGCAACGCCGCGUGAGUGAAGAAGGAUUUCGGUUCGUAAAGCUCUGUUGUUAGGGAAGAAUGAUUGUGUAGUAACUAUACACAGUAGAGACGGUACCUAACCAGAAAGCCACGGCUAACUACGUGCCAGCAGCCGCGGUAAUACGUAGGUGGCAAGCGUUGUCCGGAAUUAUUGGGCGUAAGGCGCGCGCAGGUGGUUUAAUAAGUCUGAUGUGAAAGCCCACGGCUCAACCGUGGAGGGUCAUUGGAAACUGUUAAACUUGAGUGCAGGAGAGAAAAGUGGAAUUCCUAGUGUAGCGGUGAAAUGCGUAGAGAUUAGGAGGAACACCAGUGGCGAAGGCGGCUUUUUGGCCUGUAACUGACACUGAGGCGCGAAAGCGUGGGGAGCAAACAGG
rnacentral:rRNA from 1 species